rnacentral:lncRNA from 1 species
CGCGGCCGCCGCCGCUGCCCCAGGCGGAGGGCACGGAGGUUCCCACGCUCCGGCCCCGGGCCGGGGGCGUUCUCAGGCCGGCGUGGCCGCGCUCGCCACCACCGCGGAGGCCAGGCUGUAAUUAGGGUAAUUGCGCGGCUCCGCGCCUAGGGCAAGUGCAGGACCCUGGCUGUGCAGCGCUGGUCCGAGAUGGGCAGGGACAGCAUGGGCUGGGAAUGUCGCAGCCUGGUCUUCCAGACAGGCUGCCUCUGCCUCUGCAGCUGUUUCAAGCUGUGUCUUCGUGUACGUGCAUACUCGGGUCAGAAUGUCCUGGUCCCAAAGCCAUCUAGCAAAACCUUUCACCUCCCAAGGCCAAUCAUAAGCCCUCUGUGUUCUGCUCCCAGCCUGAGCCACCCCGUUCCCUGGCCAGGUGGGCUCUUUUCCGGUUUCUGAAGUUAUAGAAGAAAGCCCUGGACUCUGGGGGCAAAACUGCAAGUACAAUUACUAAGUGUGAAUGAGAGAAUAGGAG